UUCUAAAGCUAAAUAUUUAUGGGAAACCGAUAGCAAACAAGUACUACGAAGGAAAGAUGAAAAGAACUUUGAAAAGAGGGUUAAAAGACUUGAAAUCGUUGAGGAGAAAAGCGGUAGAAGAGAAAUGAUUUCAUUUAGAAGUAUGUAGUUAUGUAGGUGUCUUCUGCGGUAAUGGUACUUCAUAGGGCCUAGCUGUAGACCGGCGUCGCAUUGCUGCUUUUUCUGGAUGAAGUGCAAAAUGAGGUCUCGCUUGCGGAAACGUCUCUAGGGAGGACUCUGGCCUUGACGCUGGAAGCCCUGGUCUCCAACGCAAGCCUGGCCUGAGGGCUGCAUCUGCAGAUUUUGCAAA
rnacentral:rRNA from 1 species